rnacentral:tRNA from 2 species
AGAGAGGUGUCCGAGUGGUUGAAGGAGCACGCCUGGAAAGCGUGUAUACGUGCAAGCGUAUCGAGGGUUCGAAUCCCUUCCUCUCUG